rnacentral:misc_RNA from 1 species
UCUCCGUAGGUGAACCUGCGGAGGGAUCAUUACAGAGUUCAUGCCCUACCGGGUAGAUCUCCCACCCUAUGUUAUUAUUACUUUGUUGCUUUGGCGGGCCGUAAGGCUCCGGCCCGACUACCGGCCCCGGCUGGCGAGCGCCCGCCAGAGGCUUUUAAAAUCUUGCUUGCAAUAAGUCUGAGCGAUACAAAAAAUGCGGAAAACUUUCAACAACGGAUCUCUUGGUUCUG